rnacentral:misc_RNA from 1 species
GAUGAAGAACGUAGCGAAAUGCGAUACGUAAUGUGAAUUGCAGAAUUCAGUGAAUCAUCGAAUCUUUGAACGCACAUUGCGCCCCCUGGUAUUCCGGAGGGCAUGCCUGUCCGAGCGUCAUUGCUGCCCUCAAGCACGGCUUGUGUGUUGGGCCCCGCCCCCCGAUCCCGGGGGGCGGGCCCGAAAGGCAGCGGCGGCACCGCGUCCGGUCCUCGAGCGUAUGGGGCUUUGUCACCCGCUCUGUAGGCCCGGCCGGCGCUUGCCGAUCAACCAAACUUUUUUCCAGGUUGACCUCGGAUCAGGUAGGGAUACCCGCUGAACUUAAGCAUAUCAAUAAGCGGAGGA